UUAAUUAAUAUAGCAAAAUAUUGCGUUAGACUUAGAAACUAACUAAGUUCCG
rnacentral:tRNA from 1 species